rnacentral:rRNA from 1 species
GGGGGAAAAGCCGGCCUCUUCAUGAAAGCUGGUGUUCGAGGAUGGGCCUGCGGCCCAUCAGCUAGUUGGUGAGGUAAUGGCUCACCAAGGCUAAGACGGGUAGCUGGUCUGAGAGGAUGAUCAGCCACACUGGAACUGAGACACGGUCCAGACUCCUACGGGAGGCAGCAGUGGGGAAUCUUGCGCAAUGGGCGAAAGCCUGACGCAGCGACGCCGCGUGAGUGAUGAAGGCCCUCGGGUCGUAAAGCUCUGUGGAGGGGGAAGAAUAAGGCAUGGCUAACAUCCAUGUUGAUGACGGUACCCCUUUAGCAAGCACCGGCUAACUCUGUGCCAGCAGCCGCGGUAA